UCAACUACGUGGUCAGCAUGUCUGCGGGUAUUACUGUAGAGUGGACAACGCGUUGUUCCCGGACUUUAUUGGGGCGGUAAACGCGAGCAGCUGGCUGUUUUCUUAAGUCUUGAUGUGAGAGCUCCCCGGCUCAGCCGGGGGAGGGUUCAUUGGAAACUGGGAGACUUGAGUGCAGAAGAGGAGAGUGGAAUUUCCAUGUGUAGCGGUGAAAUGCGUAGAUAUAUGGAGGAACACCAGUGGCGAAGGCGGGCUCUAUCGUCUGUAACUGACGCUGAGGCUAGAAAGCGUGGGGAGCAAACAGGAUUAGAUACCAUGGUAGUCACACGCCGUAAACGAUGAGUGUUAAGUGUUGGAGGGUUUCCGCCCUUCAGUGCUGCAGCUAACGCCUUAAGCACUCCGCCUGGGGAGUACGACCGCAAGGUUGAAAAUCAAAGGAAUUGACGGGGGCCCGCCCAAGCGGUGGAGCAUGUGGUUUAAUUCGAAGCAACGCGAAGAACCUUACCAGGUCUUGACAUCCUUUGACCACUUUAGAGAUAGAGCUUCCCCUUCGGGGGCAAAGUGACAGGUUGUGCAUGGUCGUCGUCAGUUUGUGUUGUGAGAUCUUGGGUUAAGUCCCGCAACGAGCGCAACCCUUAUUGUUAGUUGCCAUCAUUCAGUUGGGCACUUUAGCAAGAUUGCCGGUGACAAACCGGAGGAAGGUGGGGAUGACGUCAAAUCAUCAUGCCCCUUAUGACCUGGGCUACCCACGUGAUCCAAUGGGAAGUACAACGAGUCGUGAAGUCGGGAGGCUAAGAUAAUCUCUUAAAGCUUCUCUCAGUUCGGAUUGUAGGCUGCAAGUCGCCUACAUGAAGCCGGAAUCGCUAGUAAUCCGGAUCAGCCCCCCUCGGUGAAUCCGUUCCCGGGCCUUGUACACACCCCCCGUCCCACCACGAGAGUUUGUAACACCCGAAGUCGGUGAGGUAACCUCGGGAGCCAGCCAUGAUAUAGAGAUUUCAUGGGG
rnacentral:rRNA from 1 species